rnacentral:rRNA from 1 species
UACGUAGGGUGCGAGCGUUAAUCGGAAUUACUGGGCGUAAAGCGUGCGCAGGCGGUUCGUUGUGUCCGUCGUGAAAGCCCCGGGCUUAACCUGGGAACUGCGAUGGAAACUAGCGAGCUGGAGUGUGGCAGAGGGGGGUGGGAUUCCGCGUGUAGCAGUGAAAUGCGUAGAGAUGCGGAGGAACACCGAUGGCGAAGGCAGCCCCCUGGGCUAACACUGACGCUCAGGCACGAAAGCGUGGGGAGCAAACAGG